UGGACGUUGGUGAACAGGCCCAUGCAAGACUUUUAAUCCGGGUGUCGCGAGUUCGAGCCUCGCACGGCCCA
rnacentral:tRNA from 2 species